rnacentral:sRNA from 1 species
GUUAAUGUUUUGGAAAGAAGGCCGCGAAAGCCGCGUCUUUUCAUGGAACGUU